rnacentral:rRNA from 1 species
GGGUGCGAUCAUACUAGCCUUAAUGCACCGGAUCCCAUCAGAACUCCGCAGUUAAGUGCGCUUGGGCUAGAGUAGUACUGGGAUGGGUGACCUCUCGGGAAGUCCUAGUGUUGCACUCU